CUACUCAGCGCAUGACAAUACGAUUGUUGGUCUUUUGAAUAGUCUUGGAGUUUUAGAGCCACAUAGACCACCAUUUGCAUCGAGUGUACAUUUGGAAUUAUACAAAAAUGGAAAAGAAGAGCAUUACAUUCAAAUUUUCUACAGAAAAUCGGAUGAAGAAGUUCUUCUACCAUUGAAUAUACCGAAUUGCGGAGAAAAGUGUUCGCUGAAUCAAUUAUACAAAUUGUACAAUGAUAUUAUACCAGAUCGUGAUCAUGACACUGAAUGCCGCCUUCCCAACUAGAUAUAAAAAUGAUAAAUGUUCAAUAAAUUCUAAAUAAUAUCUGUAAAAAUAAAUCGACAAACGAAAAUGAAAAAAAUGAAUAAAA